rnacentral:tRNA from 1 species
GCGAACGUGGCGGAAUUGGUAGACGCACUGGAUUUAGGUUCCAGCGCCGCAAGGCGUGAGAGUUCAAAUCUCUCCGUUCGCACCA